rnacentral:rRNA from 1 species
UACAGAGGGUGCAAGCGUUAAUCGGAAUUACUGGGCGUAAAGCGCGCGUAGGCGGUUUUGCAAGCCAGAGGUGAAAUGCCUGAGCUUAACUUAGGAAUUGCCUUUGGGACUGCGAGGCUUUGAGGACGAGAGAGGUGAGUGGAAUUCCCAGUGUAGAGGUGAAAUUCGUAGAUAUUGGGAAGAACACCGGUGGCGAAGGCGGCUCACUGGCUCGUUUCUGACGCUGUAGCGCGAAAGCGUGGGGAUCAAACAGG